UGUAAGCCGGGUUCUGUCGUGGACAAUCAUUCCUCUAGGCUUGCAUUUACACACAAGCUCAAGCAACCUACCCGAACUCUCGGCGGGCCACCGAUUGAGUUCCUAUUUGGUCUUGCUACGAGUGGAGUUUACCUAGCUGCCAAAUGUUACCACUGGCACGGUGCGCUCUUACCGCACCCUUUCACCCUUACCAGCCAAAGCUGGCGGUCUGCUCUCUGUUGCACUAGUCGUAGGCUCGCGCCCCCCGGAUGUUAUCCGGCACUCUGCCCUAUGUAGCCCGGACUUUCCUCCCCACAG
rnacentral:RNase_P_RNA from 1 species